GGCACAUGAGAAUUGAUUUUUCUUAAAUGCAGGCUGCAGCAAUGAUUAACUUGAUAAAUGGCACAAUGAAUUUGAUUCUCCUUAUAUGCAGAUUAAAGCAAUAUAAAAACUUGAUAAGUGACACAUAUAAUUUGAUAAUCAUUAUAUGAAAGGGACGCUAUAGUCACCUGAACAACUUUAGCUUAAUGAAGCAGUUUUGGUGUGUAGAACAUGCCCCUGCA